rnacentral:pre_miRNA from 19 species
GCGCAGUUACACAGCUUGCAUUUCGGUGUCCACUCUCUCCGUUUCCCUUCCCAUGAUGGCUAGCCUUGAGUAAGUACAUAUGUUUUGAACACAUGUAUGCUUGCUUAAAAUCCUUUGUCGGAGGGAAUCGGAAAGAGUGUACAAUGAAUUGCAAGCUUGAUUGAUUCG